rnacentral:sRNA from 1 species
ACCAGGUGUGGUGUCCUGUGCUUAUAGUUCCAGCUAUUUGGGAGGAUGAGGUGGGAGUAUUGCUUGAGCCCAGGAAUUCAAUGCCUGGGUAAUAUAGCGAGACCUUGUCCCAC